UUCAUAUGUUUCCACAUUUCUGUAAUAACACAUGAGGAGGAAGAAUACAGUGGAAAUUUAAUUGCUUUACCUAUGGGAGCAGAUCAAUUAGACUGUGUCUACAGCUGCAAGUCACAGUGGUGUAGACUUGAUUUGUGCACACACACCCCCCCCCUUCCCACAGAGUAUCAGUUGUUUACCCAGAAGGACAUGGA